rnacentral:misc_RNA from 1 species
GACACCUGUGUGAGCACCUGAACACGUGCUCUAUAAAGAACGGUUUUAAUACCAAAGCGAAUCUGUUCACCUGAACACGUGCUCUAGAAAGAAACGUUUGUGUACGCUUGAAAACAAGUUUCACAAAACGUUUGCGCAGUAGCGUGUGUCUCUUUGUCGGGCAUCCCGAUACGUCGACGUGUAUUGAACGCUACGACCAGUUUACGCUACUGGGGAGGUUUCCGCAGGUGCGCCUGCACCAAAGACUGCACAGGCAAGGCUGGGCGUAGCGUUGCGUUCCUUACAAGCACAAAAAGCCUGAUAAGAGACAACUUGGAGACAGAGUUCAAGGUUCAUAGCCUUUGUUCUUUGCAAGUGAGCGGGCAGGUUGGGUCACUUGCGCUUGGUAGAGAGGCGCUCCCUGCGUGAUCUGAUCGAACGCUGACGAAUGCGACUUUCGCUUGGUGACUGCGACACGAACUGUACUGUCAGUAUGCAUUUAUUGCUAUGAAUCAGGGACAGCAGCCGUAAAUUCGUUGCGUAUUUCGACUCCGCGUCACGUCGUGCUGCAAACGUGCAUAUGUCGUGCAGCACCGCUAACGCAAAAGUUUGGCGUGAUUGAGCAGCGUCGUUUUGCGCUGAAUAUGAUAUUCGAUAGAUCACAGGUACGAUCUGCUGCACUUUUCAUACUCGUUCGUUGUGCAGCGUGCAACAGCGCCGAGGCUCGCUUCUCUGAAAUAGGCGAGAAGCGAGACGUUAAACUAGUAUCUGAGGAGCGAGUUUUUGCGGCACCGUUUUUGACAUCGGUGCCGAGCGCACGAAACCUUUGUCGCUGGUAGGUCGUUCAUGACGGCCUUGGCGAGCAGUCCGCAUGGACUGGUGCCUCCGGGGCGUCGAAACGGCCCACGCAGGCCCCUGGAACACGCGGGCCAUGCAGCAGCCUCGCGGAACAAACGCCCUGGAUGCUCGGUGUGCAGCGCGGCACCGCAGCAGGUAAACACGACAUUUACAAGAGGCGCUCUGCCUAUUUUUUAUGCGAGUUAGAUAAUUUCUCUAAAAGAGCGGGCAUGAUCUCAAACAGGUCACCGACGAGGCCGUAGUCGGCUGCUUGGAAAAUCGGGGCCUCUGGGUCAUUAUUGAUGGCGAUGAUGACCUUGCUGUCUUUCAUGCCCGCAAGGUGCUGGACGGCACCACUCACGCCCACGGCGAUGUAGAGCUCUGGUGCAACAACCUUGCCUGUCUGCCCGACCUGAAGUUCAUUGGCACACAUGCCGGCAUCAACAGCCGCCCGCGUGGCGCCAACGGCUGCCCCCAGACGGUCUGCAAGCUCCAUCACAAAGGCUUGAAAGUGCUCGGCGUCGCGGAGGCCACGGCCACCGGUAACAACGAUGUGGGCGCUUUCCAAGCGCGGCCUUUCGGCGUUAGCGCCCGUCUGCUGCAACCACUCCACGGCUGGCGGUGCGGCGUCUUGGAGAUACUGCCUUGCCUUGUCUGUGAUGUCGAGUUCAGUUGGACAGGCGUCAUCGUGGCGAAGUUGCGCGGCCUCGAAAGCGGUACCCCGAAUAGUCGCCCAGCAACGCCAUCCAGUCUUAGAUGACGGUUCAGAGGGAGGUACCAAGCGUACGCGGGCCAGAAUGCUCCCCGCAUACAACGGACGCACGAAUUCCCAUGGCGAACACACCUGCAUGAUAUCUGAGAGCGGCUGGAUGCCCAGGAUACCUGCUGCGCGUGGUAGAAUAUUUUUGCCAAAAGUACUCCCGCCAGUGAACACGUGCGAAUAGCCUUGCUCUGCACUCCAGCGGGCAAUGACAGGGGCCAGCAUCUCGGCAACGGGAUACCUGCAGUGCCCAUCACAAACGAGAACGAGUCGCGAUACACCGUCAACCUGAGCGAGCUGUUUUAGAACCGCCCCCAUAUCUGAAUCCACGCGAUCGAAGACGAGAACCUCAAUAUGUCCAGUUUGUUUGGCGUCGUUGCCGUUGCUCGACAACGUGCCCCCGCAUACCUGCUGGGCUGCUCGUAAUGCAGCCCAGGUUGCAGGCGCGACAUUCCCGCGGGCAUGCUCUGCUAAAACGAGAACCGAAGGAGAAACGCGUGC